rnacentral:rRNA from 1 species
UACGUAGGGUGCAAGCGUUGUCCGGAAUUAUUGGGCGUAAAGAGCUCGUAGGUGGCCUGUCGCGUCGGCUGCGAAAACUCGGGGCUCAACUCCGAGCUUGCAGUCGAUACGGGCAGGCUAGAGUUCGGCAGGGGAGACUGGAAUUCCUGGUGUAGCGGUGAAAUGCGCAGAUAUCAGGAGGAACACCGGUGGCGAAGGCGGGUCUCUGGGCCGAUACUGACACUGAGGAGCGAAAGCGUGGGGAGCGAACAGG